rnacentral:rRNA from 2 species
CUCUCUUUGUAAGCUACACAUAAAGAGUUGGGCCUGCUCGGUGAAUAAUUAUUAUUUUAACAGCUGCGGUAUUUUAACUGUACUAAGGUAGCAUAAUAAUUUGCCUUAUAAUUUGAGGCUAGAAUGAAUGGUUUGACGAAGGUUAAUCUGUCUCUACUCUAAUUUUUAGAAUUUAAUUUUGAUAGUGAAAAAGCUUCAAUUUUUUAAAGGGACGAGAAGACCCUAUUGAGCUUAUAAUUUUAUUAUCAUUGUAAUUUCUAUUUUUAUUAUGAUAUAUAAAUUUUAAUUGGGGUGAUUAAGGAAUAAAAAGUUUUAGUAACUUCCUUAGAUUAUAAAUUAAUUGAUUAAGUAACCAAUAUAUUAUUGCUUUUAUAAUAGUUACCAUAGGGAUAACAGCGUAAUUUGUUUAGAGAGUUCUUAUUGAAAAAUGGGAUUGCGACCUCGAUGUUGGAUUAAAGUGACCCCAAGGUGAAGAAGCUUUGUUAGGUAAAUCUGUUCGAUUUUUAAAACUUUACA